rnacentral:rRNA from 1 species
GGGCCCGCACAAGCGGAGGAACAUGUGGUUUAAUUCGAUGAUACGCGAGGAACCUUACCCAGGCUCGAACGCCGAACGAAUACGGGGGAAACUUCGUAGCCAGCAAUGGCGGUCGGCGAGGUGCUGCAUGGUUGUCGUCAGCUCGUGCCGUGAGGUGUCGGCUUAAGUGCCAUAACGAGCGCAACCCCUAUCGGUAGUUGCCAGCGGGUUAUGCCGGGAACUCUACCGAGACUGCCAGCGCAAGCUGCGAGGAAGGCGGGGAUGACGUCAAAUCAGCACGGCCCUUACGUCUGGGGCGACACACGUGUUACAAUGGCCGGUACAGAGGGCAGCCACCCAGCGAUGGGGCGCGAAUCUCAAAAGCCGGUCGUAGUUCGGAUCGGAGGCUGCAACCCGCCUCCGUGAAGCUGGAUUCGCUAGUAAUCGCAUAUCAGCCAUGAUGCGGUGAAUACGUUCCCGGGCCUU